rnacentral:rRNA from 1 species
GACGAACGCUGGCGGCGUGCUUAACACAUGCAAGUCGUACGGUAAGGCCCUUUCGGGGGUACUCGAGUGGCGAACGGGUGUGUAAAACGUGAGUAACCUGCCCACAACUUUGGGAUAACGCUAGGAAACUGGUGCUAAUACUGGAUAUGUUCUCCUGCUGCAUGGUGGGGGUUGGAAAGCUCCGGCGGUUGUGGAUGGGCUCGCGGCCGACCAGCUUGUUGGUGGGGUAGUGGCCUACCAAGGCGGCGACGGGUAGCCGGGCUGAGAGGGUGACCGGCCACAUUGGGGCUUGGGUACGGCCCAGACUCCUACGGGAGGCAGCAGUGGGGAAUAUUGGACAAUGGGGGCAAGCCUGAUGCAGCAACGCCGCGUGCGGGAUGACGGCCUUCGGGUUGGAAACCGCCUUCAGGAGGGACGAAGCUUUUUGUGACGGUACCUGCAGAAGAAGCACCGGCUAACUACGUG